rnacentral:rRNA from 1 species
CAGUAGCCGCGGUAAUACGGAGGGAGCUAGCGUUGUUCGGAAUUACUGGGCGUAAAGCGCGCGUAGGCGGUUACUCAAGUCAGAGGUGAAAGCCCGGGGCUCAACCCCGGAACUGCCUUUGAAACUAGGUGACUGGAAUCUUGGAGAGGUCAGUGGAAUUCCGAGUGUAGAGGUGAAAUUCGUAGAUAUUCGGAAGAACACCAGUGGCGAAGGCGACUGGCUGGACAAGUAUUGACGCUGAGGUGCGAAAGCGUGGGGAGCAAACAGGAUUAGAUACCCCGGUAGUCCCUGUCUCUUAUAA